CAAAAUGGAUCGGACUGUCGGCGAACACUGCGUUUAAACUUUUUAUUCGUAAAGUAAACCUUAAUUUGAGAAAAAUGAAUACCAAAUAUCAAAAGGUUCAUUAUGUUAGAAUUAAUUGUCGUUUGAAUCUCUGGCCCUGGAUCACCAUUGAAUUGUAAAUUCAAAAUAUCUGAUUUCAACGAAGAAAAAGUUUGAGGGCCACACUCGAAAGUCGAAACAACUGGAAAUACUGGAUUGGUUAUUUCCACUUUCAGGUUUCCAACUUUGUUGAACAGCAUUUUCUCUCUUCCCCGCUAGUCAGUCAAUGAGAGAAGGCGAUGGGACGGCGUUACUCCACGGACCGGAUUUGAAUUUCCAAUAAAAUUUACCGAAACCGUCCAGCUCCAAAAACGAACAGAUGGGAAAAAUGUUCAACGUCCUCGUCGAAACAUCUGCAACAACUUCGUCUGUUCAACGGCAUCACAAAGGCCCUGCAGUUGCACAUCAACCCAGGCGGGCAGAAAUAAUAUCGUUACAGAA